rnacentral:rRNA from 1 species
UACGUAGGGUGCAGGCGUUAAUCGGAAUUACUGGGCGUAAAGCGUGCGCAGGCGGUUUGCUAAGUCAGGUGUGAAAUCCCCGGGCUUAACCUGGGAACUGCGCUUGUUACUGGCAGGCUUGAGUGUGGCAGAGGGGGGUGGAAUUCCACGUGUAGCAGUGAAAUGCGUAGAGAUCGGAAAGAACACCAGCGGCGAAAGCAGCCCCCUGGGCUAGAACUGACGCUCAGGCACGAAAGCGUGGGGAGCAAACAGG